rnacentral:rRNA from 1 species
UACGUAGGUGGCAAGCGUUGUUCGGAAUUACUGGGCGUAAAGGGUGCGUAGGCGGUCCGCUAAGUUGGAUGUGAAAACUCUGGGCUUAACCCAGAGCCUGCAUUCAAAACUGACGGGCUAGAGUUCUGGAGGGGGUAGCGGAAUUCCUGGUGUAGCGGUGAAAUGCGUAGAUAUCAGGAGGAACACCGGUGGCGAAGGCGGCUACCUGGACAGAAACUGACGCUGAGGCACGAAAGCUAGGGGAGCAAACAGG